rnacentral:misc_RNA from 1 species
UUCUAAACCUGAUCGCAGCGAACACGGAGUGCAACGGAGUAAAGCGGAGAGCAGGGACAAAC